UCCUACGGGGGGCAGCAGUGAGGAAUAUUGGUCAAUGGCCGAGAGGCUGAACCAGCCAAGUCGCGUGAGGGAUGACGGCCCUACGGGUUGUAAACCUCUUUUGUCGGGGAGCAAGACCCGCCUCGUGCAGGCGGAGCGAGAGUACCCGAAGAAAAAGCAUCGGCUAACUCCGUGCCAGCAGCCGCGGUAAUACGGAGGAUGCGAGCGUUAUCCGGAUUUAUUGGGUUUAAAGGGUGCGUAGGCGGUUUUAUAAGUUAGAGGUGAAAAUUCUGGGCUCAACUCCGGACGUGCCUCUAAUACUUUAU
rnacentral:rRNA from 1 species